rnacentral:rRNA from 1 species
ACCAGCAGCCAUAUCACCCUGCAACUCACAACUGCCAACCUACUGAAGCUCAGCAGGUGUGAGCCUGGUCAGUACCUGGAUGGGAGUCCUCCUGGGAAAAACUAAGGUUGCUGCUGGAA